UAGGGUAUUGGCCUAACAUGGCUAUGACGGGUAACGGGGAAUUAGAGUUCGAUUCCGGAGAGGGAGCCUGAGAAAUAGCUACCACAUCUAAGGAAGGCAGCAGGCGCGUAAAUUACCCAAUUCUAAAGAAGAGAGGUAGUGACAAGAAAUAACAAUGCAAGGCCAAUUUUUGGUUUUGUAAUUGGAAUGGUGGGAAUUUAAAACCUUCCCAGAGUAACAAUUGGAGGGCAAGUCUGGUGCCAGCAGCCGCGGUAAUUCCAGCUCCAAUAGCGUAUAUUAAAAUUGUUGCAGUUAAAACGCUCGUAGUUGAAUUUCAAGGAAUCGAUAUUUUAUUGUAACUAUUUUAGGGGUUUUAUUUUUGCUUCUUGCUUAAAUUCUUCCCCUAUUAUUAUGUUCUUUAAAUAACAAAGAUUCUUUUUAAAACCCCUUUUUGCUUUUUGCUUUUUGGGGUUUUGUUACUUUGAGUAAAUUAGAGUGUUCAAAGCAAACAGUUAAAGCAUUUACUGUGUUUGAAUACUAUAGCAUGGAAUAACAAAAUUGAACAAGCUGAAAUUUUGUUCUUUUUUCUUAUUUUGGCUUAGUUACGAUUAAUAGGAGUAGCUUGGGGACAUUCGUAUUCAGAUGUCAGAGGUGAAAUUCUUAGAUUUUCUGGAGACGAACAACUGCGAAAGCAUUUGUCUAAAAUACUUCCAUUAAUCAAGAACGAAA
rnacentral:rRNA from 1 species